GAUCGGAUAGCUCCGUCUAUAGAGCAUGAGACUCUUAAUCUUAGGGUUGUAGGUUCAAUUCCCACGUUGGAGAUUCCUGCA